ACUCUGCAGUGUUACAAGUAUGCUUUUUUUGCCAUUGCAGAAAACUGUUAUGCAAACCACUGUAAAGUGAAUGUGAAUGUCAAAUUGCUCAUCCAGCACUUCCUAGCUGAAUCUCAGCUUUCCAGGAUAUAGUCCAUCAUUCUGUAACUGGAUGAGCUGGAAGAUUCAGAAAAGCCUCUGAAAUAAAGGAAAGAACAUUGGCCACAACAUAGGGAAAAAAAGAAGGAAAAAAGUACAACAUAACUGAGAGAACAAGAGGGAGAAAGCAUGAACCGCACUUUCAAAGGGAAACCAGAGGAAUUGAGAAGGACGGACAGUUAGCACCCAGUUCUUACCUCUGCAUCAUGCCCAUGUUCUGCGUAGUCUGUACAUGCUUCUCAAGUUUCAUGUCUUCUGGGGAAAGAGCCUUUCCUCAAGUUUCAAAUCUCUUAUUUGUCUUCCACAACAUGAUAUAUAAAAAAUUAUUUAUUUGUUUUGAGCUUUGUCAUUGGUGAAUAUGAUAGAUAUAAAACUGUUUCUGAAUUAAAUACUCUGGCAGGUAGUCCCCUACCAAAAAUUCACCAAAUUUUUAGUAAUAUCAAAUUUUAAAAGUCAGAUAAUUGUACAUGAAAGCACAGAAGGAAGAAUCUGAGUUCUUAAGAAAAGGGAAAGUUAUUGCAUGAAGACAAAUGUUUUAUGGAAAUCUAAAGAGAUCUCCAUUUACAGUAUAGACAGAAAUAUAUUUUCCUUUUUAUCUGAUUAAUCUAGAAAUUUUGUUCAUGCUCACAAAAAUGACAUCCUGGGGUGCAUUAGAGAGAGUAUUGCCAGCAGAUGGAGGGAGGUGAUCCUGCUGCUCCACUCAGCCCUGGUGAGGCACAUCUGGAACACUGUGUCCAGUUCUGGGCUCCUCGGGACAACAAAAGCAUGAAGUUCCUGGAGUGGGUCUGGUGGAGGACCCCAAAGAUGAUUAAGGGAUGGGAGCAUCUUUCUUAUGAGGAACAACUGAGGGAGCUGGGUCUGUUCAGCCUCCAGAAGAGAUGACUGAGAGGGGACCUCAUCAAUAUCCCGCAGGCAGGGUGCCAAGAGAAUGGAGCCAUGCUCUGCUCAGUGGUGCCAAGCAAUGGGACAAGAGUCAAUGGGCAGAAGUUGAUGCACAGGAAGUUCCACCUGAAUGUGAGGAAGAAUUUUUUUUAAUGUGCAGUGGACCAAGCACCAGAACAGGUUGUCCAGAGAAGUUGUGGAGUCUUGCUCACUGGAGAUAUUCAAGAACUCUCAGAACAAAAUCCUGUGCAAUGUGUUCUCACCCGACUCUUCUUGAGCAGGGAAGUGGGACCACAUGAACCACAGUGGACCCUUCCAACCUUAUGUGUUCUGUGAUUCUGUGAUUUACUUAUAAAUAAAGUACAUGGAAUUUGUUCUCAUUUUCUUCUUGCAUAAAUUCUCUUUUAGCAUAUAUUUUUUUAAUUUCCUUGCAACUACCUGUACUUCUACAAGUAUUUGUUUGCUCUUGUAGGCAUUGCCUUCAGAUAACUUUGAGAAUAAUUAUUCUUAGGAAUGUCUACUGGUUUUCAUUUCAAUAUCUAGGCAAGUUAUAUUAAAGA